rnacentral:rRNA from 1 species
CCGGUGAGGGAGUGAAGGCCUUCGGUUGUAACUCUUUCAGCAGGGACGAAGCGAAAGUGACGGUACCUGCAGAAGAAGCACCGGCCAACUACGUGC